rnacentral:rRNA from 1 species
GUGAGGAAUAUUGCGCAAUGGAGGCAACUCUGACGCAGCCAUGCCGCGUGCAGGAAGAAGGCGCUACGCGUUGUAAACUGCUUUUAACCGGGAAGAAACCCCAGGACGUGUCCUGGGUUGACGGUACCGGAGGAAUAAGCACCGGCUAACUUCGUGCCAGCAGCCGCAGUAAUACGAAGGGUGCAAGCGUUAUCCGGAUUCAUUGGGUUUAAAGGGUGCGUAGGCGGAGCGUUAAGUCAGUGGUGAAAUCCUGCAGCUUAACUGUAGACUUGCCAUUGAUACUGGCGCUCUUGAGUGCGCUUGAAGUGGGCGGAAUGUGCCGUGUAGCGGUGAAAUGCUUAGAUAUGGCACAGAACACCAAUUGCGAAGGCAGCUCACUAAGGCGAUACUGACGCUGAGGCACGAAAGCGUGGGGAUCGAACAGGAUUAGAUACCCGAGUAGUCC